rnacentral:rRNA from 1 species
UACAGGGGGGGCAAGCGUUGUUCGGAAUUACUGGGCGUAAAGGGCUCGUAGGCGGCCAAUUAAGUCCGACGUGAAAUCCCCAGGCUUAACCUGGGAACUGCGUCGGAUACUGAUUGGCUUGAAUCCGGGAGAGGGAUGCGGAAUUCCAGGUGUAGCGGUGAAAUGCGUAGAUAUCAGGAGGAACACCAAUGGCGAAGGCAGCUCGCUGGGACGGUACUGACGCUGAGACGCGAAAGCGUGGGGAGCAAACAGG